rnacentral:rRNA from 1 species
UACGUAGGGUGCAAGCGUUGUCCGGAAUUAUUGGGCGUAAAGAGCUCGUAGGCGGUCUGUCGCGUCGAAUGUGAAAACCCGGGGCUCAACCCCGGGCCUGCAUUCGAUACGGGCAGACUAGAGUUCGGUAGGGGAGUCUGGAAUUCCUGGUGUAGCGGUGGAAUGCGCAGAUAUCAGGAGGAACACCGAUGGCGAAGGCAGGUCUCUGGGCCAUUACUGACACUGAGAAGCGAAAGCAUGGGGAGCGAACAGG